AUCAAUUUCUAGCCUUCGAUUUUGACGAAACCGUGGAUAUCACCAAGGAGAAUUGUCGCCUUUUGCUGAUACGUUUAAAGAUGGAAGGCUGGGCCAUUGGAAAAACCAAAGUAUUUCUACGCUAUUAUAAUGAUGAGUUCUUGGCCAGAUUAUAUGAAGUCCAAGUAAAAAAGGUUAUUAAGGUACAAUCAAUGAUGCGAGCUUUACUGGCACGCAAGCGCAUGAAAGGGGGCAAGGA